UGACUGCGCCCACAUCUCUCCCAGACCCAGUGCCCAUGCAUGAAGGCCGGACCCGGAUGCAGUCUGGCCAGCUUUAACAUAGCAUUGAGCAUUGUGAUGAAUGGGACCGGUAAUUCAGUUCUAUAGUUCUUAACUCUAGUUCUAUAGUUCUAAACUCUCUAGCUCUAUAUUCCACCUCCAUGGUCAGGCAGGCCGCCCUCUCCUCUCCCUCUUGACACCCAAUGGCUUUCCCUCUGUGCUGACUCAGUGGCCUAACAAGCGUGUUAAGUACUGCCAUGUGAGUUGGCCACAUGAACAGGUCGUCAGGGAGAUGUAAUGUGGAUGGGCGGCGGCGGUGGUGACUCACUGGGGGCAAGGCGAUUGGCUCUUCAGAGGUUUAGCUGAUUGGCUCUUGAUAUUUUUGGGGCCAACACUUGGCACCAGGAACCAAGAUGUAAUGAAAUGUACCAUUUGCAAGCCUAGCAUUGGCCAUUGUGAUAAAUGGGAGUGGUAUUUCAGUUUAUUCUAAAUAUUCAGUUAUAUAGUUCUAAACUCUCUCGUUCUGAAGUAGCAAGCCUAGCAUUGGCCAUUGCAAAGAAUGGUAAUUGUGAGUGGCAUCUUCCUUGAGUCGGUCAGAGUGGUAAUUCUAUGUUCUCUCUCUAUGGUCAGGUUAGGCCACCCUCCCCUUCCCCUCUACACCGUCUGGUUCUCUCUCUCACUGCCUCACUGGUGUAAAGAGUGCGUUGAGUAGUGCCCAGUGAGUUACCACAUGAGCGGCUCGUCAGACAGAUGUAAUGUGGACAGAUGCCCGGUGAUGGUGACUCACUGGAGAGCGGCUGACCAGCGCUGUGAUCACGGAUGGCCAGAUAUCCUCGGCACUGAUAGUAAUGAAUCAUUACAGGACAGUCAAACUGCAUCAAACAUUAAGGGAGACCAUCAGUCUUGGCUUGUCCCAGAGGAGUCAUUAGACAGUAUGGUUGCUAGUGGGUGUCUGCCUGCAACACUGCCAGCAGUGGAUUAAAACAUCACAUAUGCUACUCGACAUUCUACCAGCAGUCACACCGCCGAGAGAGCUUCACUGAGGGGGUGGUGACGACUUACACUUCCAGCUAAUCAACUCCAUGUUUGUCAAAUACUUGGCAAAGCCAUAUGGUUUAGGAGGGGGGAGGGGGCGGGGCGGGCCAACCUCUAAAUCCUCAAAUGAUGGGUGUAUUGGCUUAGCGAAAUGACACACUGGAAGCCACAGGAGCGCACCCCACGCCCCUCCCCCUCCCACCACCCCUUCAUAUCUCAGAGAAAAACAGCAGUGGGAGAGUUUGGGUGACUGGAAAAAGAGAAAGGAUUGGCUACUGUUACUUGAAAUAACAACAUUCAAAUCAAUGACUUAUGUUAUAAGGAAAUGAAGUUGAUAUUGGUCGGCCAUUUUGGAAAUUUGGACCCAGGGUCUGCACGUUAGGUGCUUUUUGGAGACAGGGCAUGUGUCGUAAACAGAAAAUCAACCAGGUACACCAAGAAUGAAUCGGUGGCUUAAUUUCUGACUGCGCGUACACUGUCCAAUGAUUUUACAGUCAUUGAUUGAAAUGGUAAGGUGGUACAACUGCCGAAAAU
ensembl:lncRNA